UUAAAAAGGCAUCUUCAAAUCCACUUCAACAAGGCAGUUGUCUGUGGAGUGUGACAUUCCAAUCAUACGGAGAUGGUGGACUCUUAUUCUUCUGGAGAACUGUGGAGUUUUCUCUGAAAGUGCAGAAACCCUACAAGAGGCCCUUUCAAUUGGAUAACAGGCUACGCUUGUGAGACAUCUGCUCAGGGGGCCAGUGGAAGAGCCUCUUUUCCUUAUAAUGGAGGAAGAGGACAAGGAAAAGGCCCUCAACAAUCUCCUGGAACAGAAGUUUCCAGAGUGCCCUUCAUAUUUCAUCUUGUGUUCAGGGGAGUUAUUUUUGUGGGAUU